CCUGAAAAGAGGCUGUAGCCAGAUGGGCAUUAGUCUCUUCUCCCAGGCAACCAGCUAGAGGACAAGGAGACACAGUCCUCAGGAAAGAUUGAACAUUAGGAAGAAUUUCUUCACUGAAAGGGUGCUCCUUAUUGGACUUGUGGUCCAUCCUUCCCCAGCUUCUCUGGACAAGAUCCAACACCUCAAUAUGCUUCCUGAAUCAAGAGUCCCAAAACUGGAUACAGCACUUGAGCUAAUGAAACUGCAAAGAUGGUCUUCCUAGCAUCUGAACAGAUGCACAUGCAAUGGGAGGACAUCAACAGUCAAGCAAGAAAGUUGAAAAAUGUGCUCUAAAUGUGCCAGACCUUGAACAGUGUCAUAGUGAUUAUGCAGAAAGGUUACUAAAGGAUCCAGUUUGAAAGAAAUGUUUAAA